rnacentral:rRNA from 1 species
UACGAAGGGGGCGAGCGUUGUUCGGAAUUACUGGGCGUAAAGGGCGCGCAGGCGGUCCUUCAAGGCAGAUGUGAAAGCCCCGGGCUCAACCUGGGAAUGGCAUUGGUGACUGCACGGCUAGAGUGUGUCAGAGGGGGGUAGAAUUCCACGUGUAGCAGUGAAAUGCGUAGAGAUGUGGAGGAAUACCGAUGGCGAAGGCAGCCCCCUGGGAUAACACUGACGCUCAUGCACGAAAGCGUGGGGAGCAAACAGG